CUUUUCUAGUAUAACUAUUACCUGUGACUUCCAAUCACUAAAUCUUGAAACAUCAAGGAAAAGUA
rnacentral:tRNA from 1 species